AAGUCGUAACAAGGUUUCCGUAGGUGAACCUGCGGAAGGAUCAUUAUUGAAUGAACUUGGCGUGAUUGUAGCUGGUCCUCUUGGGGGCAUGUGCACAUCCGUCAUCUUUAUCUCUCCACCUGUGCACACUUUGUAGGUCUGGAAUAACUUUCCGAGGCAACUCGGUCGUGGGGAACUGCUCUCAAGCUUUCCUUACAUUUUCCAGGUCUAUGUUUUCAUAUACACCACAAGAAUGUAAUAGAAUGUUUUUAUUGGGCCUUGUUGCCUAUAAACUAUAUACAACUUUCAGCAACGGAUCUCUUGGCUCUC
rnacentral:misc_RNA from 1 species